rnacentral:rRNA from 1 species
ACUAAGCGUACACGGUGGAUGCCCUGGCAGUCAGAGGCGAUGAAGGACGUGCUAAUCUGCGAUAAGCGUCGGUAAGGUGAUAUGAACCGUUAUAACCGGCGAUUUCCGAAUGGGGAAACCCAGUGUGAUUCGUCACACUAUCAUUAACUGAAUCCAUAGGUUAAUGAGGCGAACCGGGGGAACUGAAACAUCUAAGUACCCCGAGGAAAAGAAAUCAACCGAGAUUCCCCCAGUAGCGGCGAGCGAACGGGGAGCAGCCCAGAGCCUGAAUCAGUGUGUGUGUUAGUGGAAGCGUCUGGAAAGGCGCGCGAUACAGGGUGACAGCCCCGUACACAAAAAUGCACAUGCUGUGAGCUCGAUGAGUAGGGCGGGACACGUGGUAUCCUGUCUGAAUAUGGGGGGACCAUCCUCCAAGGCUAAAUACUCCUGACUGACCGAUAGUGAACCAGUACCGUGAGGGAAAGGCGAAAAGAACCCCGGCGAGGGGAGUGAAAAAGAACCUGAAACCGUGUACGUACAAGCAGUGGGAGCACAGAGCAAUCUGUGUGACUGCGUACCUUUUGUAUAAUGGGUCAGCGACUUAUAUUCUGUAGCAAGGUUAACCGAAUAGGGGAGCCGAAGGGAAACCGAGUCUUAACUGGGCGUUAAGUUGCAGGGUAUAGACCCGAAACCCGGUGAUCUAGCCAUGGGCAGGUUGAAGGUUGGGUAACACUAACUGGAGGACCGAACCGACUAAUGUUGAAAAAUUAGCGGAUGACUUGUGGCUGGGGGUGAAAGGCCAAUCAAACCGGGAGAUAGCUGGUUCUCCCCGAAAGCUAUUUAGGUAGCGCCUCGUGAAUUCAUCUCCGGGGGUAGAGCACUGUUUCGGCAAGGGGGUCAUCCCGACUUACCAACCCGAUGCAAACUGCGAAUACCGGAGAAUGUUAUCACGGGAGACACACGGCGGGUGCUAACGUCCGUCGUGAAGAGGGAAACAACCCAGACCGCCAGCUAAGGUCCCAAAGUCAUGGUUAAGUGGGAAACGAUGUGGGAAGGCCCAGACAGCCAGGAUGUUGGCUUAGAAGCAGCCAUCAUUUAAAGAAAGCGUAAUAGCUCACUGGUCGAGUCGGCCUGCGCGGAAGAUGUAACGGGGCUAAACCAUGCACCGAAGCUGCGGCAGCGACGCUUAUGCGUUGUUGGGUAGGGGAGCGUUCUGUAAGCCUGCGAAGGUGUGCUGUGAGGCAUGCUGGAGGUAUCAGAAGUGCGAAUGCUGACAUAAGUAACGAUAAAGCGGGUGAAAAGCCCGCUCGCCGGAAGACCAAGGGUUCCUGUCCAACGUUAAUCGGGGCAGGGUGAGUCGACCCCUAAGGCGAGGCCGAAAGGCGUAGUCGAUGGGAAACAGGUUAAUAUUCCUGUACUUGGUGUUACUGCGAAGGGGGGACGGAGAAGGCUAUGUUGGCCGGGCGACGGUUGUCCCGGUUUAAGCGUGUAGGCUGGUUUUCCAGGCAAAUCCGGAAAAUCAAGGCUGAGGCGUGAUGACGAGGCACUACGGUGCUGAAGCAACAAAUGCCCUGCUUCCAGGAAAAGCCUCUAAGCAUCAGGUAACAUCAAAUCGUACCCCAAACCGACACAGGUGGUCAGGUAGAGAAUACCAAGGCGCUUGAGAGAACUCGGGUGAAGGAACUAGGCAAAAUGGUGCCGUAACUUCGGGAGAAGGCACGCUGAUAUGUAGGUGAAGUCCCUCGCGGAUGGAGCUGAAAUCAGUCGAAGAUACCAGCUGGCUGCAACUGUUUAUUAAAAACACAGCACUGUGCAAACACGAAAGUGGACGUAUACGGUGUGACGCCUGCCCGGUGCCGGAAGGUUAAUUGAUGGGGUCAGCGCAAGCGAAGCUCUUGAUCGAAGCCCCGGUAAACGGCGGCCGUAACUAUAACGGUCCUAAGGUAGCGAAAUUCCUUGUCGGGUAAGUUCCGACCUGCACGAAUGGCGUAAUGAUGGCCAGGCUGUCUCCACCCGAGACUCAGUGAAAUUGAACUCGCUGUGAAGAUGCAGUGUACCCGCGGCAAGACGGAAAGACCCCGUGAACCUUUACUAUAGCUUGACACUGAACAUUGAGCCUUGAUGUGUAGGAUAGGUGGGAGGCUUUGAAGUGUGGACGCCAGUCUGCAUGGAGCCGACCUUGAAAUACCACCCUUUAAUGUUUGAUGUUCUAACGUUGACCCGUGAUCCGGGUUGCGGACAGUGUCUGGUGGGUAGUUUGACUGGGGCGGUCUCCUCCUAAAGAGUAACGGAGGAGCACGAAGGUUGGCUAAUCCUGGUCGGACAUCAGGAGGUUAGUGCAAUGGCAUAAGCCAGCUUGACUGCGAGCGUGACGGCGCGAGCAGGUGCGAAAGCAGGUCAUAGUGAUCCGGUGGUUCUGAAUGGAAGGGCCAUCGCUCAACGGAUAAAAGGUACUCCGGGGAUAACAGGCUGAUACCGCCCAAGAGUUCAUAUCGACGGCGGUGUUUGGCACCUCGAUGUCGGCUCAUCACAUCCUGGGGCUGAAGUAGGUCCCAAGGGUAUGGCUGUUCGCCAUUUAAAGUGGUACGCGAGCUGGGUUUAGAACGUCGUGAGACAGUUCGGUCCCUAUCUGCCGUGGGCGCUGGAGAACUGAGGGGGGCUGCUCCUAGUACGAGAGGACCGGAGUGGACGCAUCACUGGUGUUCGGGUUGUCAUGCCAAUGGCACUGCCCGGUAGCUAAAUGCGGAAGAGAUAAGUGCUGAAAGCAUCUAAGCACGAAACUUGCCCCGAGAUGAGUUCUCCCUGACUCCUUGAGAGUCCUGAAGGAACGUUGAAGACGACGACGUUGAUAGGCCGGGUGUGUAAGCGCAGCGAUGCGUUGAGCUAACCGGUACUAAUGAACCGUGAGGCUUAACC